rnacentral:rRNA from 1 species
AUUGAACGCUGGCGGCAUGCUUUACACAUGCAAGUCGAACGGUAACAGGUUAAGCUGACGAGUGGCGAACGGGUGAGUAAUGCAUCGGAACGUGCCCGAUCGUGGGGGAUAACGUAGCGAAAGUUACGCUAAUACCGCAUACGAUCUGAGGAUGAAAGCGGGGGACCGUAAGGCCUCGCGCGAUCGGAGCGGCCGAUGUCAGAUUAGGUAGUUGGUGGGGUAAAGGCCCACCAAGCCGACGAUCUGUAGCUGGUCUGAGAGGACGACCAGCCACACUGGGACUGAGACACGGGCCAGACUCCUACGGGAGGCAGCAGUGGGGAAUUUUGGACAAUGGGCGCAAGCCUGAUCCAGCAAUGCCGCGUGCAGGAAGAAGGCCUUCGGGUUGUAAACUGCUUUUGUACGGAGCGAAAAGGCUCUCUCUAAUACAGGGGGCUCAUGACGGUACCGUAAGAAUAAGCACCGGCUAACUACGUGCCAGCCGCCGCAGUAAGAC